CAGCCGCCGCGGGAAUACGGAGGGUGCAAGCGUUAAUCGGAAUUACUGGGCGUAAAGCGCACGCAGGCGGUCUGACAAGUCAGAUGUGAAAUCCCCGGGCUUAACCUGGGAACUGCAUUUGAAACUGUCAGGCUGGAGUCUUGUAGAGGGGGGUGGAAUUCCAGGUGUAGCGGUGAAAUGCGUAGAGAUCUGGAGGAAUACCGGUGGCGAAGGCGGCCCCCUGGACAAAGACUGACGCUCAGGUGCGAAAGCUUGGGGAGCAAACAGGAUUAGAUACCCCAGUAGUCCCUGUCUCUUAUAA
rnacentral:rRNA from 1 species